AAAAACAUCGCCUCCUGCAACACAACCAUGUAUAGGAGGUCCAGCCUGCCCAGUGACUACAAGUUCAACGGCCGCGGUAUUUUGACCGUGCAAAGGUAGCGCAAUCACUUGUCUUUUAAAUAGAGACCUGUAUGAAUGGCUAAACGAGGGCUUACUGUCUCCCCUUUCCAGUCAGUGAAAUUGAUCUGCCCGUGCAGAAGCGGACAUAAAAAUACAAGACGAGAAGACCCUUUGGAGCUUAAGGUACAAAACUCAACCGCGUCAAGCAACUCAAUAAAAAGCAAAAACUUUGCGGAACAUGAGAUUUUACCUUCGGUUGGGGCGACCACGGAGGAAAACAAAGCCUCCAAGUGGAUUGGGAAAACCUCCUAAAACCAAGAGAGACAUCUCUAAGCCACAGAACAUCUGACCAAACAUGAUCCGGCUGCCCGAAGCCGAUCAACGAACCAAGUUACCCUAGGGAUAACAGCGCAAUCCUCUCCCAGAGUCCAUAUCGACGAGAGGGUUUACGACCUCGAUGUUGGAUCAGGACAUCCUAAUGGUGCAGCCGCUAUUAAGGGUUCGUUUGUUCAACGAUAAAAGUCCUACGUGAUCUGAGUUC
rnacentral:rRNA from 1 species